rnacentral:misc_RNA from 1 species
GUAAUGCCAGCUUAAAGCGACUCCAGGAGCUGAGUGAAGAUUGCGGAAGAUGCUAUAUUGUUGGUACGUUUUUUAAACGCCAAGAACUCAAGCCAUCCAUACUCAAGGAGAUAUCAGAAGAACACCACCUGAUGCCACAACCGGUUGUUGAGAAGUAUGUGAGCGCUGAGGACGAUAUUAUUCUUGAGGACGAAGUGCAGAGAAUACAGCUUGUGGGCAAUAUAGAUGUGCCAAAACUUAUAACCGGUUUGGUUUCUGCUGUGCUCGGCAAAGAAGGCGACGGGGGCAAAUUUAUCGUUGAGGAUGUGUGUUUUGCUGGCCUUCCCACUCCCGUUCCCCGUGAAGUAAUUGAGGAAGACAGGUUUGUUUUGUUAGUGUCGGGGUUGGAGCUGAGUGCAUCGGUUGACAGUCUCUUACCGCUGGAGUUGUUGGUUGACUACGUGUCGGGCCACCUGGGACAUUCUCAAGAGCAGGCAGCAGUCGCUCAGGUCUCCAGGAUAAUUAUUGCUGGCAAUUCAGUAAGUAGUGCCAAGGGCAAAAAGGAGAAGCCAGACAAGGUAAAGCUGAUGAAGGAGCUGGACGACAUCCUCACGCAGAUUGCGAGUGUUUGCCCGGUGGACAUCAUGCCUGGGGAAUUUGACCCGGCCAAUAAUGUGAUGCCUCAACAACCGCUUCAUCGUUGUAUGUUUCCUAAGGCUAGUGUAUAUUCAUCAAUGAAGAGUGUAACAAAUCCAUACGAAUGUGAGAUUGGUGGUCGAGCAUUUAUUGGAAUGUCGGGACAGAAUGUGAAAAAUAUUAGCCAGUGUUCAACAGUUGAGGAUCCUCUUGACGUACUGGAGCGGUUGUGUGAGUGGGGUCAUCUGGCGCCCACGGCACCAGACACGCUUACGGCAUAUCCCUACUACAAGGAAGAGCCAUUUGUGAUGGAUUUGUGUCCUGACGUUAUGUUUGCUGGGAAUCAAGAAUCUUUCGGCAGUCGCAUUAUGAAAGGUGAAGGUGGCCAUAAAGUUACGUUGGUGAGCGUUCCUCGGUUCAGUAGUACAAGCACCUGCGUCUUGGUGAAUCUCCGAACACUGCAGUGCCAACCAAUGUGCUUCUCUGCUGACUCUUUAGAUUUGAUUGAUUCAUGCAAACAAGAAGCAGAGAAAUGAGCCAUUCUUGAUGGUAUUAGAAAACCUUUCUUACAAAGAAGAAAAUUUGUACAGUCCUAGUACUAGCGACUUAAAAUGGUUUUGAAAUUUUAUGGAAUUAUAGAAAAUUGUUACUGAUGUAAUACUAGUUACAAAGAUUGAUGGUCAAUCCCUGACCGUCAGCGUGGCUGGGUACCAUUCCUCCCCCCUGUUCUAUCCCAGCACCUUGUGCUCAUAGUCCUUCCAAGUGCUAUUCUUCCUUCCUUCCUUCCUUCCAAGUCUUGCUGACUUUGUGCUCUCUCCUGAUAAUUACCUUACCUUGUCUCUCCCUGUACUGUGCUUGUAUAUUACAUCAGCUUGUGUGUCUGAUGUUGUUCCUUUGAGCAUGGCGGCCCUACCUCACUUUGUCAUAGUGUUGUGAUCAUUCAAACAUGGUCAUCUUUCACUUCUUUUUGUCGUGAAGAUGCAGUGUUUGUCUACUUUUAUUUUAUAUGUAUUGUCAUUUUACUUCAAGUUUGUAAUUCUUGGAUUUGCUAGAAUGUUUCCAGACUUUGUGGUAGUUUUUUUUUAUAUAUAAACAAAUGAAACUAUUUAAAUAUGAAAAUUCAAUUAAAGUGUAAUUUUGUUUUUUUUUCCAUCGAAAAUAUAUUGUGAUCGAAUUCUGGUAAUUUUAUUGUUUCUUGUUAUUUGUCAGUCUGUCUGGAUUAUAAAAUUUUAUAUUAAUGUUGAA